GAUGAAGAACGCAGCGAAAUGCGAUAAGUAAUGUGAAUUGCAGAAUUCAGUGAAUCAUCGAAUCUUUGAACGCACCUUGCGCUCCUUGGUAUUCCGAGGAGCAUGCCUGUUUGAGUGUCAUUAAAUUCUCAACCUCACCAGUUUUCUGAACUGUUCUCCGAGGCUUGGAUGUGGGGGUUUGUGCAGGCUGCCUCAGCGCGGUCUGCUCCCCUGAAAUGCAUUAGCGAGUUCGAUACUGAGCUCCGUCUAUUGGUGUGAUAAUUAUCUACGCCGUGGAUCGGGGCUUAGACUCGCUUCUAACCGUCCACAAGGACAAUACCUUGACAAUUUGACCUCAAAUCAGGUAGGACUACCCGCUGAACUUAAGCAUAUCAAUAAGCGAGGA
rnacentral:misc_RNA from 1 species